AUUAGCUAGUUGGUGAGGUAAUGGCUCACCAGGCGACGAUCCUAGCUGGUUGAGAGGAUGAUCAGCCACACUGGGACUGAGACACGGCCCAGACUCCUACGGGAGGCAGCAGUCGGGGAAUAUUGCACAAUGGGCGCAAGGCCUUGAUGCGAGCCAUGCCGCGUGUGUGAAGAAGGCCUUCGGGUUGUAAAGCACUUUCAGUCAGGUAGGAAAGCGUGGUGGGUUAAUACCCAUCAUGUGUGACGUUACUGACAGAAGAAGCACCGGCUAACUCCGUGCCAGCAGCCGCGGUAA
rnacentral:rRNA from 1 species